AUUUGACCUCAAAUCAGGUAGGAACACCCGCUGAACUUAAGCAUAUCAAUAAGCGGAGGAAAAGAAAAAUAACAAUGAUUCCCCUAGUAACUGCGAGUGAAGAGGGACAAGCUCAAAUUUUAAAUCCAUCGGGUUUUACCCGAUCGAGUUGUAAUUUGAAGAGGCGUUUUCUGUGUUUCUGAUCAGUCCAAGUCCUUUGGGAUAAGGCAUCAUGGAGGGUGAGAAUCCCGUCCGGUUGAUCAGAUUCGCUUUACGAUACGCUUUCUAAGAGUCAAGUUGKUUGGGGAUUGCAGCUUAAAAUGGGGAGGUAAAUUUCUCCUAAGGGCUAAAUAACGGCGAGAGACCGAUAGCGAACAAGUACCGUGAGGGAAAGAUGAAAAGAACUUUGAAAAGAGAGUUAAACAGUACGUGAAAUUGUUGAAAGGGAAACGAUUGAAGCCAGUCGUACCUUCGGGUAAUCAGCCUUUCGGGUGCGAUUAUGUGGAGUGUGAGGAGCUUAAACACCUUCAUGUUUUGCAUAUUCGUACUCUUGGGUGUACUUGCCCGUGUGGUUGGUUAACAUCAAUUUUGGUGGUCAUAAAAUGACUGGAGGAAUGUAGCUUCGAUCUCGUAUUGAAGUGUUAUAGCCUUCGGUAGAUGUGAUGAUCGAGAUUGAGGAUUGCAACGGAUACCCUUCGGGGCUACCUGUCUGGUCUCUGAUCGUUGCUCUGGUGCCGAAAGCUUGCUUACGGUUAUCAAAGUCGAUGGUCAAUAGGUUAGAACGGGUUAAAUUCGUUAAGGAUGUUGACGUAAUGGCUUUAAACGACCCGUCUUGAAACACGGACCAAGGAGUCUAACAUAUAUGCGAGUGUUAGGGUGAUUAAACCCUUACGCGUAAUGAAAGUAAUAUUGGUGGGAACACUUUUGUGCACCAUCGACCGAUCAGGAUAUUUUUUGAUAGAUUUGAGUAAGAGCAUAUCUGCUAGGACCGGAAAGAUGGUGAACUAUGCCUGAAUAGGGUGAAGCCAGAGGAAACUCUGGU
rnacentral:rRNA from 1 species